UGUUUGUAUACUUCGCCGGAGGCUGUACUAGACGAUCAUUAUAAUGUUUACUUUAUACCCGAGUAUAUUUAUCGUUAACGGACGCGGCCGUUCACUAUUAUUAUUUUUUUAUUUCCCCGCGUUUCUGUCGUUCCGGCUGCGUUAUAAUAAUAAUAACAACAACAGUACUAUACUCGUGUUUAAAUUUUCGUGUACAUAGGUACUCUUAAAAAUACAACGCGUGUUUCCGAGACGUUUG